CACGCUAUCUCUUAAAGUAAAUAAAGUUUCUUUCACAUCAGGUUAACGUUGAGUUCCAAUCAGGAUGUUAAAAUAGAUCUUCUAAAAUAUUACCUGGGUGGUAAACGUUACUUCUAUUCAAGAUGAUAUGCAGUAGCUCGUUUAAAGAUCACUGCUGGGUGCAGACAGAAGGAAAAAAAACCUGCUCACAAAAACUCCACCACUUUUCAAUAGAAAUGUGUUCAACAGAACUUUCCGUUGUUAUGAUUUGAUUUUUAUGAUCAAAAUGUCUUUUGCAGAACAGAAAACAACAUUUUCAAAUUGGCAUACUGGAUAUGAAAAAAAAAUCUCAUCAUAGAUACCAAGCUUAUAAUUUGAUAUGAAGGACACUGAUUGAAUCAUAGUCUUGUACCUGAUGAGAAGAGAGAGUGCAUAUAUUCACUGCUUAAUAUAAAGCCAAGAAAUUACAUUUUUUCAUUGUAACAUACUAUUACCUUUUGAUGCCAAAUAUGUUCGAUUUUAUAGACCGGUAGAGUGAGACAUUUUAGCAGAACAAUCCCCGUCAUUAUACAUCAAGAGUAACCAUUGAUUUCUUGACAAAGAACAACAUAAACGUAUUACCAUGGCCCUUAAAGUCACCGCAUUUGGAUUUAAACUUAAUAGACACGUUCGCCUUACUUCAAUCACUGGACCAUUUGAGUCAAGCUAGCAACAUGAAUGAAAAUAAUACCACAUGUUCGAAUACAGAUUUUGAUUUAUUCCAUGUCAAGGACAUACAGAAUAUUUUAAGCCCCUUAUGUUUAUCACAAUAAAUGCUGCCAUUAAAGUUACCAAGAAUAAACCCUAUUUAUCGUACGUGCUUUAAAAGUAUAUUGUAUGCUUGGUAAUUAUCAAUCAUUGCAGGUUCAUUCAAAUUAUUAUCUACCAAAAACUGAAUGCAUUUUAUUUUUGCUUUUAAAUUUAAUGCUGCGUAGUUAUUUUUUAAAGCGACGCUUUUCCAAAUUGAUAUAAUUUCUUGAUAAAAGUUCACACACGAAUGUCACAAAGGAUACUGAUAAAAGAACAAUUGAAUAAGAACACACCAAAAACAUCAGAUGAUUAAUAAAGAAUAGCUAUGAACUUUUUGUUACAUUCAAUUUGAUGUAUAUUUACAUUGUGUAUUAUCAGCAGUGUUGAUCGAAACAAAUAACAUCUGUUGUAUGCCUCACCAAAAUACAAUAAUAAGGAAUUUUUAGAUGUCCCAUUGUUGAUCAUUUUCCUAGCUACAAAAAAUGUCUUAAGACAAAUUGUUAUUUCAUAGUAUUUGUCUUUUUUGCCGUUAUAAUAAUGAUUGCACCAGGAUACAUAUUUCCUUUGAUUCGU